rnacentral:rRNA from 1 species
AGAGUUUGAUCAUGGCUCAGGACGAACGCUGGCGGCGUGCCUAACACAUGCAAGUCGAACGGGGUGAGGCCCUUCGGGACCUUUACCUAGUGGCAAACGGGUGAGUAACGCGUGAGGAACCUGCCUUUCAGUGGGGGACAACAGUUGGAAACGACUGCUAAUACCGCAUAAAGCUUUUGGGAGACAUCUCCUGAAAGCCAAAGCUUAAUGUGCUGAAAGAUGGCCUCGCGUCUGAUUAGCUAGUUGGUGGGGUAACGGCCCACCAAGGCGACGAUCAGUAGCCGGUCUGAGAGGAUGAACGGCCACAUUGGGACUGAGAUACGGCCCAGACUCCUACGGGAGGCAGCAGUGGGGAAUAUUGGGCAAUGGGCGAAAGCCUGACCCAGCAACGCCGCGUGAAGGAAGAAGGCCUUCGGGUUGUAAACUUCUUUUACCAGGGACGAAGGACGUGACGGUACCUGGAGAAAAAGCAACGGCUAACUACGUGCCAGCAGCCGCGGUGAUACGUAGGUUGCAAGCGUUGUCCGGAUUUACUGGGUGUAAAGGGCGUGUAGGCGGAGAUGCAAGUUAGGAGUGAAAUCUAUGGGCUCAACCCAUAAACUGCUUCUAAAACUGUAUCCCUUGAGUAUCGGAGAGGCAAGCGGGAUUCCUAGUGUAGCGGUGAAAUGCGUAGAUAUUAGGAGGAACACCAGUGGCGAAGGCGGCUUGCUGGACGACAACUGACGCUGAGGCGCGAAAGCGUGGGGAGCAAACAGGAUUAGAUACCCUGGUAGUCCACGCUGUAAACGAUGAAUACUAGGUGUGGGGGGACUGACCCCCUCCGUGCCGCAGUUAACACAAUAAGUAUUCCACCUGGGGAGUACGACCGCAAGGUUGAAACUCAAAGGAAUUGACGGGGGCCCGCACAAGCAGUGGAUUAUGUGGUUUAAUUCGACGCAACGCGAAGAACCUUACCAGGACUUGACAUCCAACUAACGAAGUAGAGAUACAUCAGGUGCCCUUCGGGGAAAGUUGAGACAGGUGGUGCAUGGUUGUCGUCAGCUCGUGUCGUGAGAUGUUGGGUUAAGUCCCGCAACGAGCGCAACCCCUAUUUUCAGUAGCCAGCAUUUUGGAUGGGCACUCUGGAGAGACUGCCCGGGAUCACCGGGAGGAAGGUGGGGAUGACGUCAAAUCAUCAUGCCCCUUAUGAUCUGGGCUACACACGUGCUACAAUGGCUGUUACAGAGAGAAGCGAAUCCGCGAGGAAGAGCAAACCUCAAAAAGGCAGUCUCAGUUCGGAUUGUAGUCUGCAACUCGACUACAUGAAGCUGGAAUCGCUAGUAAUCGCGAAUCAGAAUGUCGCGGUGAAUACGUUCCCGGGUCUUGUACACACCGCCCGUCACACCAUGGGAGUUGGAAAUGCCCGAAGUCAGUGACCCAACCGCAAGGAGGGAGCUGCCGAAGGCAGGUUCGAUGACUGGGGUGAAGUCGUAACAAGGUA